CACCAGCGCUGGCCCUGCACAGCUGGAUGACCAGCGCUGCAAACUACCAGUGCUGCAAACCGUAAGUGUAGCCAUACCCUAAGUGGCCAGGCAGAAUAAAGCUGGGUCUGACUGGAGGCAGGACAUGUUAGAUUAGGCCUUUCUAUUACAGAACCACAGGAAUGCAGGAUCUAGACCAAAGUGGUGUGUGCUUCAGCUCAUUCAAUGAAGCCUGAAGUGUAUUCACACAAGAAUCGCACAAUGGCUCAAAAUUUGCUUGCUUAAGUUUGUACAUGUGGUGCUGCGAUCAUCCUUGUCGUUGAUAGACCUGUCAUGGAGAAACAUUGCAUAUGCCUCGCCUGAAGCACUCCUGCAGGAUUUCUAGAGAUAUCAGGCAGCUGAUUUUUCACCAGAACCUGUGCAACUGGCUACCGCUUCCUUGUCAUGCUCCAACUUUUACCUGCUUGACAAACCACUGAGAAGUGUAGAUUCAUCAUCUUGUUUAAAGCCAGAUGUGACUUGCUACGUGCCUGCACAGGCAAUGUAGACGUGGAUAAAUCGAUCCCCGAUCACUCUGCCAUCGACUCCAGAACUCCACCAUGGUGAGAGGCGGAAGCAGAGUCAACAGGGGAGCAGUGGCCGUUGAUCCUGCGCCAUGAGGACGUGAAAUGUAAAGACUACAGAACUACAUCUAUCAAGAGAGAACUCAUUUUUUCCCUUCCUUUCUUGUGCAUGCCUGGAAACAACUAUAUUUCAUACCUUUGUAUGAGGUAGCAAGAUUACAUGAUGUGGCUUUUCAGUCAAGGAGAACAAAGGGAUUUCCACCCACAAGAGAGAAUAUAAAAGGCCCUGGAAACCCC